rnacentral:rRNA from 1 species
AUUGAACGCUGGCGGCAGGCUUAACACAUGCAAGUCGAGCGGGGUGAUGGUGCUUGCACUAUCACUUAGCGGCGGACGGGUGAGUAAUGCUUAGGAAUCUGCCUAUUAGUGGGGGACAACAUCUCGAAAGGGAUGCUAAUACCGCAUACGUCCUACGGGAGAAAGCAGGGGAUCACUUGUGACCUUGCGCUAAUAGAUGAGCCUAAGUCGGAUUAGCUAGUUGGUGGGGUAAAGGCCUACCAAGGCGACGAUCUGUAGCGGGUCUGAGAGGAUGAUCCGCCACACGGGGACUGAGACACGGCCCAGACUCCUAAGGGAGGCAGCAGUGGGGAAUAUUGGACAAUGGGGGGAACCCUGAUCCAGCCAUGCCGCGUGUGUGAAGAAGGCCUUAUGGUUGUAAAGCACUUUAAGCGAGGAGGAGGCUCUUUUGGUUAAUACCCAAGAUGAGUGGACGUUACUCGCAGAAUAAGCACCGGCUAACUCUGUGCCAGCCGCCGCGGUAA